rnacentral:lncRNA from 1 species
GAAGCCCAAAAGUUAGGCCAACCAGCUUUAUAAGGAUGGCAGUGGCUAAACUGCUUGAUAGAUACAUCUAGUUUUUUUUUUGUUUUUUUUUUAGAAACUCAUAGAUCUAUGGCUUUUAAUUGGGAAUUUUGGAUAGCAUACCACAACAUGAUGAUCUACAGUCUUUUCUUCACAAGAGUCAAGCAACUGUCACAGUCAUCGGUUCCCGACAAUCUUUCAUCAGCAGGGACACUGUGUCGCGAAGAAUUCGCUACAACAUUGAGGUGGAUGUAUCAGGACAUAGUGGUUUCAAAGAGAUGGGCAAUUUGAAUCCUUGUAGGAUUGGGAUAUUUGAGCAAUAUAGAGAUUCUGAUUAUAA